rnacentral:rRNA from 1 species
GGGCACGACACCGGAGAGGGAGCCUGAGAAACGGCUACCACAUNNAAGGAUGGCAGCAGGCGCGCAAAUUACCCAAUCCCGACACGGGGAGGUAGUGACAAUAAAUAACAAUACGGGGUUCUUUAGGAUCUCGUAAUUGGAAUGAGUACAAUUUAAAUCUCUUAACGAGGAACAAUUGGAGGGCAAGUCUGGUGCCAGCAGCCGCGGUAAUUCCAGCUCCAAUAGCGUAUAUUAAAGUUGUUGCAGUUAAAAAGCUCGUAGUUGAAUUUCGGGGUUAGUAGGUUGGUCAUGCCUCUGGUAUGUACUGGUCUCACUGAUUCCUCCUUCCUGAUGAGCCGUAAUGCCAUUAAUUUGGUGUUGCGGGGAAUUUGGACUGUUACUUUGAAAAAAUUAGAGUGUUUAAAGCAAGCUAACGCUUGAAUACAUUAGCAUGGAAUAAUGAAAUAGGACGUUCGAUCCUAUUUUGUUGGUUUCUAGGAUUGACGUAAUGAUUAAUAGGGAUAGUUGGGGGCAUUAGUAUUCAAUUGUCAGAGGUGAAAUUCUUGGAUUUAUUGAAGACUAACUACUGCGAAAGCAUUUGCCAAGGAUGUUUUCAUUAAUCAAGAACGAAAGUUAGGGGAUCGAAGACGAUCAGAUACCGUCGUAGUCUUAACCAUAAACUAUGCCGACUAGGGAUCGGAUGAUGUUAAUUUUUUAAUGACUCAUUCGGCGCCUUACGGGAAACCAAAGUG